rnacentral:tRNA from 1 species
CGCCAACUGGGGAAGGUCGCCUCGACCUGCGGGGCGAGCAGGCCGAGGUCGCGCAGCGGCGAGUUUUCCAGCAGGUCGUUGGCGU